rnacentral:rRNA from 1 species
UUCGAAGCAACGCGAAGAACCUUACCAGGCUUGACAUGCAGAGAACUUCCAGAGAUGGAUUGGUGCCUUCGGGAACUCUGACACAGGUGCUGCAUGGCUGUCGUCAGCUCGUGUCGUGAGAUGUUGGGUUAAGUCCCGCAACGAGCGCAACCCUUGCCUUUAGUUGCCAGCAGUUCGGCUGGGCACUCUAAAGGGACUGCCGGUGUUAAACCGGAGGAAGGUGGGGAUGACGUCAAGUCCUCAUGGCCUUUAUGACCAGGGCUACACACGUACUACAAUGGCCGAUACAAAGGGCAGCGACACUGCGAGGUGAAGCCAAUCCCGUAAAAUCGGUCUCAGUCCGGAUUGGAGUCUGCAACUCGACUCCAUGAAGUUGGAAUCGCUAGUAAUCGUGGAUCAGCAUGCCACGGUGAAUACGUUCCCGGGCCUU